CACUGGCUUGCCUCACUGUGGUUGGUGGUGGCGGUGACAGAGACUGCAGCAUGACCAGAGUGGCUUUUCUGGCUUUGCCCGCCCAGCUGCUCCAUGCCAGGAGGAGGAGGAGACACCUAGAGCCUGCAACACCACGGCUCGCCUCGCUACAGGUGGGUGGCAGUGACGGAGACUGCAGUGCACCAGAGCGGCCAGGCAUGGUGGCUCAUACCUGUAAUCCCAACAUUUUGAGAGGCCAAGUUUGGAGAAUCAUUUGAGUCCAGGAGUUGACCAGCCUGGGCAACAUAGUGAGAACUUG
rnacentral:lncRNA from 1 species